GACGAACGCUGGCGGCGCGCUUAACACAUGCAAGUCGAACGGAAAGGCCUGCUUUCCCUUGUGGAUUGCGGGUACUCGAGUGGCGAACGGGUGAGUAACACGUGAGUGAUCUUCCCCCAACUUGGGUAUAAGCCUGGGAAACUGGGUCUAAUUCCCGAUAGGACUGCAGGGUGGUGCCUGUGGUGGAAAACGAUUUUCUAGUGGUUGGGGAUGAGCUCGCGGCCUAUCAGCUUGUGGGUGGGGUAAUGGCCUACCAAGGCGGCGACGGGUAGCCGGCCUGAGAGGGUGGACGGCCACAUUGGGACUGGGAUACGGCCCAGACUCCUACGGGAGGCAGCAGUGGGGAAUAUUGCACAAUGGGCGGAAGCCUGAUGCAGCGACGCCGCGUGGGGGAUGACGGCCUUCGGGUUGUAAACUCCUUUCGACCGCGAGGAAGCCACCUGGUUGGAAGGGUGGUGACGGUAGUGGUAGAAGAAGCACCGGCUAACUACGUG
rnacentral:rRNA from 1 species